rnacentral:tRNA from 1 species
UAGAGUGAGGCUCACUGGAUAGAGUUUUUAGCUGUUAACUAAAUUAUUGUAGGAUCAAGGCCUACCAUUCUAG